rnacentral:rRNA from 1 species
GACGAACGCUGGCGGCGCGCUUAACACAUGCAAGUCGAGCGAGAACCGGCCCUUCGGGGCCGGGGAAAGCGGCGAACGGGUGAGUAACACGUGGGUAAUCUGCCCUCGGUAUCGGGAUAGCCCGGGGAAACCCGGAUUAAUACCGAAUGGCCCUUCGAGUCUUCGGAUUCGCAGGAAAAGGUAGCUUCGGCCUCCGACCGAGGAUGAGCCCGCGGCGGAUUAGCUUGUUGGUGGGGUAACGGCCUACCAAGGCGGCGAUCCGUAGCUGGUCUGAGAGGACGAUCAGCCACACUGGGACUGAGACACGGCCCAGACUCCUACGGGAGGCAGCAGUGGGGAAUCUUGCGCAAUGGGCGAAAGCCUGACGCAGCGACGCCGCGUGCGGGAAGAAGGCCUUCGGGUUGUAAACCGCUUUCAGGAGGGACGAAGCCACUCGGGUGAAUAGCCCAGAGGGUGACGGUACCUCCAGAAGAAGUCCCG